AGUGAACGCUGGCGGUAGGCCUAACACAUGCAAGUCGAACGGCAGCACAGUAAGAGCUUGCUCUUACGGGUGGCGAGUGGCGGACGGGUGAGGAAUACAUCGGAAUCUACUUUUUCGUGGGGGAUAACGUAGGGAAACUUACGCUAAUACCGCAUACGACCUACGGGUGAAAGCAGGGGAUCUUCGGACCUUGCGCGAUUGAAUGAGCCGACGUCGGAUUAGCUAGUUGGCGGGGUAAAGGCCCACCAAGGCGACGAUCCGUAGCUGGUCUGAGAGGAUGAUCAGCCACACUGGAACUGAGACACGGUCCAGACUCCUACGGGAGGCAGCAGUGGGGAAUAUUGGACAAUGGGCGCAAGCCUGAUCCAGCUAUACCGCGUGGGUGAAGAAGGCCUUCGGGUUGUAAAGCCCUUUUGUUGGGAAAGAAAAGCAGCAGGUUAAUACCCCGCUGUUCUGACGGUACCCAAAGAAUAAGCACCGGCUAACUUCGUG
rnacentral:rRNA from 1 species